rnacentral:tRNA from 1 species
UCCCUGGUAGUCCAGGGGUUAGGACUUUGAGCUUCCACUGCUGGGGUCCAGGUUCAAUUCCUGGUCGGGGAG